UUUUUUUUAAUUGAACUAAACAUUUUAUAUCACCUAUCACUUAAUGCUUGUGCACAAGUGCAUUUAUCUAUUGUCAGCUCACUUGGAAAUUGGUAUCUGUCUAUGAAAUAUGGAUGACAGACACUGAUCUAAGCUAACAAGAAAAAGAAUGAGAUGAUAUAAGCAACAACAUAAAGAGAACAAGCAUGGGUGCAUCAGUGUGUAGAAGGGGAAAUAUGAAUAUAGAAGAGUAUAGAGUGAGUAUUUACAACAGAUAAGAGAACAUAUUCGAAAUAGAAUUUAAAAUGAAAAUGU